rnacentral:rRNA from 1 species
GUGGGGAAUCUUGCGCAAUGGGCGAAAGCCUGACGCAGCCAUGCCGCGUGAAUGAUGAAGGUCUUAGGAUUGUAAAAUUCUUUCACCGGGGACGAUAAUGACGGUACCCGGAGAAGAAGCCCCGGCUAACUUCGUGCCAGCAGCCGCGGUAAUACGAAGGGGGCUAGCGUUGCUCGGAAUUACUGGGCGUAAAGGGCGCGUAGGCGGACAGUUUAGUCAGAGGUGAAAGCCCAGGGCUCAACCUUGGAAUUGCCUUUGAUACUGGCUGUCUUGAGUACGGGGGAGGUGAGUGGAACUCCGAGUGUAGAGGUGAAAUUCGUAGAUAUUCGGAAGAACACCAGUGGCGAAGGCGACUCACUGGCCCGUUACUGACACUGAGGCGCGAAAGCGUGGGGAGCAAACAGGAUUAGAAACCCUGGUAGUCC